rnacentral:rRNA from 1 species
GAUGAACGCUGGCGGCGUGCCUAAUACAUGCAAGUCGAGCGAACAGAUAAGGAGCUUGCUCCUUUGACGUUAGCGGCGGACGGGUGAGUAACACGUGGGUAACCUACCUAUAAGACUGGGAUAACUUCGGGAAACCGGAGCUAAUACCGGAUAACAUUUGGAACCGCAUGGUUCUAAAGUGAAAGAUGGUUUUGCUAUCACUUAUAGAUGGACCCGCGCCGUAUUAGCUAGUUGGUAAGGUAACGGCUUACCAAGGCAACGAUACGUAGCCGACCUGAGAGGGUGAUCGGCCACAAUGGAACUGAGACACGGUCCAGACUCCUACGGGAGGCAGCAGUAGGGAAUCUUCCGCAAUGGGCGAAAGCCUGACGGAGCAACGCCGCGUGAGUGAUGAAGGGUUUCGGCUCGUAAAACUCUGUUAUUAGGGAAGAACAAACGUGUAAGUAACUGUGCACGUCUUGACGGUACCUAAUCAGAAAGCCACGGCUAACUACGUG